UACGUAGGGACCAAGCGUUGUUCGGAUUUACUGGGCGUAAAGGGCGCGUAGGCGGCUUGACAAGUCACUUGUGAAAUCUCCGGGCUUAACUCGGAACGGCCAAGUGAAACUGUCAUGCUAGAGUGCAGAAGGGGCAAUCGGAAUUCUUGGUGUAGCGGUGAAAUGCGUAGAUAUCAAGAGGAACACCUGAGGUGAAGACGGGUUGCUGGGCUGGUACUGACGCUGAGGCGCGAAAGCGUGGGGAGCAAACGGG
rnacentral:rRNA from 1 species